CAAUGGUUCUAUUUCGAAAAUUAUGCUCUAUGAUUCUAAUAUCUAACCUAGAUUAUUCUGUUUUCCUACAAAUUAUUGACUUGUUUCAAAGAAAAUUUUGAGAAAAUUUCACUGGAGUUCAAAGUCGCUUUUAAUGAAACCUUGUGUGCAGUUUUUAUUAUUUUUGACUCAACUUCUUUGAGAUCAUUUAUCCUUGAAAAAGGUCCGAUUGGCGACCGAAACGUCGGUGUAAUGAUUGAAUAGGGAGUGAUGAAAUAGAUGAUCCAAAUACCU